AUGCAGGUGCUUUACGGCACUUGCAAUUGGAAUGAACGUGGUGUAAACAGCCUAGUAAGGAUCAAUUGGAGGACAAGUCUGGUGCCAGCACCCGCGGUAAUUCCAGCUCCAAUAGCGUAUAUUAAAGUUGUUGCAGUUAAAACGCUCGUAGUCGGAAUCAGGGGCUGCUUCAGUUUCGGUCUGCUGGGGACAGUGUGCACUGAACUGAACUCCUCUUACUUUGCGAACGGGGCGUGUUUGGCCUUAACUGGCCGAGCACCGUCUCUCGCAUCUUUUACCGUGAGUAAAUUAGAGUGCUCUAAGCAGGCCUUUCGGCUUGAAUAUUUUAGCAUGGGAUAAUCGAACACGACGCUUGUCUUGUUCGUUGGUUGGCGAGCUGGCGUAAUGAUCAACAGGAACAAGCGGGGGCAUUUAUAUUGCUUGGGGAGGGGUGAAAUCCUUGGAUCCAAGCAAGAUAAACUACUGCAAAAGCAUUUGCCAAGUGUGUUUCCAUUGAUCAAGAACGAAAGUUUGGGGAUCGAAGACGAUCAGAUACCGUCGUAGUCCAAACUAUAAACGAUGGCGACCACAACUUGAGUAGUGUUACUUGAAACCUCCCCAUGAUGUAGCGAGAAAUCAGAGUGUUUGGCUUCCGGGGGGAGUAUGGUCGCAAGGCUGAAACUUAAAGGAAUUGACGGAAGGACACCACCAGGAGUGGAGCCUGCGGCUUAAUUUGACCCAACACGGGAGAACUCACGAGGUCCAGACAUAAGUAUGAUUGACAGAUUGAACGCUCUUUCUUGAUUUUAUGGGUGGUGGUGCAUGGCCGUUCUUAGUUCGUGGAUUGAUUUGUCUGGUUGAUUCCGAUAACGAACGAGAUCUCAACCUGCUAAAUAGCAAACGUAGUCUCCUGCUGGGUGAAUGCAGGGGUCUGCAUGGCCUCCGGGUUGUGUGGCCUCUGUUGGAUCUCGGGAGAUCUAGCGUUACGGCUUCUUAGAGGGACUGCUUCAGUUAAUGGAGAGGAGGUUUGAGGCAAUAACAGGUCUGUGAUGCCCUUAGAUGUUCUCGGCUGCACGCGCGCUACACUGAUGGUUCUAAUUAGUCUCCUGGGCCGAGAGGCUCGGGAAAUCUGAGAAAGAUCAUCGUGCUGGGGAUAGAUCAUUGCAAUUGUCGGUCUUAAACGAGGAAUUCCUAGUAAGUGCAAGUCAUCAGCUUGCGCUGAUUACGUCCCUGUCCUUUGUACACACCGCCCGUCGCUCCUACCGAUUGAAUGGUCCGAUGAAAUCUGCGGAUUGUGGGGGGAAGUUCACUCAGAACCUCGGGAGAAGCUGAUUAAAUCUUAUCAUUUAGAGGAAGGAGAAGUCGUAACAAGGU
rnacentral:rRNA from 1 species